rnacentral:snRNA from 1 species
GCAAAGGAGGAUGAUCAUGGAGGUGGUUUUCCUAGGGUGAGGCUCGUCCAUUGCAUUCCAGGUGUGUCGACUCUUGCAAUUUUCCCAAAUGUGGGAAAUUUGACUGC